rnacentral:rRNA from 1 species
UACAGAGGUCUCAAGCGUUGUUCGGAUUCAUUGGGCGUAAAGGGUGCGUAGGCGGCGCGGUAAGUCGGAUGUGAAAUCUCGGAGCUUAACUCCGAAACUGCAUUCGAUACUGCCGUGCUUGAGGACUGGAGAAGAGACUGGAAUUUACGGUGUAGCGGUGAAAUGCGUAGAUAUCGUAAGGAAGACCAGUGCGAAGGCGGGUCUCUGGACAGUUUCCUGACGCUGAGGCACGAAGGCCAGGGAGCAAACGGG